rnacentral:rRNA from 1 species
GCGCCGGUCUAAGUUCCUUGACAGGACCUCAUAGAGGGUGAGAAUCCCGUAUGCGACCGACCAACCCCAUGUGAAGCCCCUUCGACGAGUCGAGUUGUUUGGGAAUGCAGCUCAAAAUGGGUGGUAAAUUUCAUCUAAAGCUAAAUACCGGCCAGAGACCGAUAGCGCACAAGUAGAGUGAUCGAAAGAUGAAAAGCACUUUGGAAAGAGAGUCAAACAGUACGUGAAAUUGUUGAAAGGGAAGCGCUUGCAACCAGACCUGUCCGGCGCACUCAGGCCAGCAUCGGUUUGGGCGGCUGGAUAAAGGCCCGGGAAUGUAGCUUCUCGGGAGUCUUAUAGCCCGAGGUGCAAUGCGGCCAGCCCGGACCGAGGACCGCGCUAGGA